rnacentral:rRNA from 1 species
UACGAAGGGGGCUAGCGUUGCUCGGAAUCACUGGGCGUAAAGGGUGCGUAGGCGGGUCUUUAAGUCAGGGGUGAAAUCCUGGAGCUCAACUCCAGAACUGCCUUUGAUACUGAGGAUCUUGAGUUCGGGAGAGGUGAGUGGAACUGCGAGUGUAGAGGUGAAAUUCGUAGAUAUCGGGAAGAACACCCGUGGCGAAGGCGGCUCUCUGGGACGGUACUGACGCUGAGACGCGAAAGCGUGGGGAGCGAACAGG